GUAAAAUCUUUAGAAACAAAACAAAACAAAAAAGGACCAGGAGAAAUAUUCUACCUCUAAUGUGCUGCCAUGAACAUAUAUUUAAAAGAUGUACAAGUUUGCGGUUGACUUAUGGACUCAACAAAUUUAAUAUAAGAUUAUGUUGAAAUUACCUGCUUUGAAUUGUUGCUACACGUUAUAUCAUGCACAUAAAAGAUUGCCCACUAAUAACUUCGUUUUGGGACAUAGCAGUUAACAUGUAUGACAUCGUAGAAUUCGUCAUACACCUUGCAGACCGAAGAAAUACGUUGAUUCUUUUUGAGAGCAUUACAUUAGCAGUACCUGAAAUCUGAUGGUUCAGUGAUAGUUGGUAAACUUGUGCCGAACCUUCGCCAUCAUGAUGGAAGACUGUUGUAUAAACUGCUGAAGGGUCAUAUGCAACUAAAGUUGCAACUGAAGAAGCUAUGUUGCGUAGAAAGAAAAUAGAAGUAACUACAUCGCAAUGCAGAUUGUACUAGUCUUUGACAAAAGGUGGAAGUUUCUUUCAAAGAAUAACAAGCCGCAAAAGAACUUCUGCAUUCUUUCCUUUCAGGGAUGAGAAGUGAUAGAAAAGUAAUGGAUUGUAGCUGUACUGAAACAAACAGUUGUGAAUUGCAAAGCAUGCGGAUUGGUGAAAUAUACCAUGCUUGGGAUCUGGUGUGUUACCUUGAGUUAGCAUCCCUUGCCUGUUGCAAGACACCAGUUAUAUGUAUUGGCACUAUCCGCAAUAACCAAUAAUUUUUGUUCAACGUAUACAAUAAUUCAAAUGUUAUAUUUAAUGAAUUUCUUUCUGGAGCUUUUCCGUUAUUACCAUCCUCGAUUGUGGACACAAAUCUCACCAUAAAUGAUGUUAUUGCACUUCAUCAUGUGUUGUACAUUACGUAAAAGGCUCUUGCUUUAAUUUUAUCUCAUAAAAUAACAUUCUAUGAGUUGCUAUUGUUGUGGUUAAACAUUCACAUUCAAAAUGCACAGAUUAAAUCGAUGCCUUACUGCACCAUUCCACAUGAAAUUCAAUUGACAAUUUAUUGGGUUCUAUAGUGAAGCUGUGGCUAUGCUUUCAUGUUUUUGUAGUUUGUGUGAGAGCAUUGAUGUACUUGCAGUACUCCUACUUAUAACAGUAUCAAUUACCAAUUAAUUGUGGUACCAGAAUAUAAAUAGACGUCUUGGGCCACAUUUAAUGCAGUGAUCAGUACGGCACAGCUAUGUCGAAAAUGUCUCAUGUUUUAUUCAUUGUCUCUCAAAGAGGUUCUGAUGGACAUCACAGAAGUGAGAAAACAACUGCACUUUCGCAAUCUGACAGCACUGGUUAAAUUCUGUUGGUG